AUUGAACGCUGGCGGCAUGCUUUACACAUGCAAGUCGAACGGCAGCGCGGGGCAACCUGGCGGCGAGUGGCGAACGGGUGAGUAAUAUAUCGGAACGUACCCAAGAGUGGGGGAUAACGUAGCGAAAGUUACGCUAAUACCGCAUACGAUCUAAGGAUGAAAGUGGGGGCUCGCAAGACCUCAUGCUCCUGGAGCGGCCGAUAUCUGAUUAGCUAGUUGGUGAGGUAAAGGCUCACCAAGGCGACGAUCAGUAGCUGGUCUGAGAGGACGACCAGCCACACUGGGACUGAGACACGGCCCAGACUCCUACGGGAGGCAGCAGUGGGGAAUUUUGGACAAUGGGCGCAAGCCUGAUCCAGCAAUGCCGCGUGAGUGAAGAAGGCCUUCGGGUUGUAAAGCUCUUUUGUCAGGGAAGAAACGGCUGGGGUUAAUACCUCUGGCUAAUGACGGUACCUGAAGAAUAAGCACCGGCUAACUAC
rnacentral:rRNA from 1 species